rnacentral:rRNA from 1 species
GACGCCGCGUGCGGGAUGAGGCCUUCGGGUUGUAAACCGCUUUCAGCAGGGAAGAAGCGAAAGUGACGGUACCUGCAGAAGAAGCACCGGCUAACUAUGUGCCAGCAGCCGCGGUAAUAA